UACGUAGGGGGCAAGCGUUGUCCGGAAUUAUUGGGCGUAAAGAGCUCGUAGGCGGUCUGUCGCGUCUGCUGUGAAAACUCAGGGCUUAACCCUGAGCUUGCAGUGGGUACGGGCAGACUAGAGUGCGGUAGGGGAGACUGGAAUUCCUGGUGUAGCGGUGAAAUGCGCAGAUAUCAGGAGGAACACCAAUGGCGAAGGCAGCUCGCUGGGACGGUACUGACGC
rnacentral:rRNA from 1 species